rnacentral:siRNA from 1 species
UGGUCAUUCCUUCUAUUCUACC